rnacentral:lncRNA from 1 species
AAUAAAGAAACAGGAUCUCAAGAGAGGAAAGUGAAUUGGAGUUAUUAAGAGAUAGAUGAACUCAUGACUCCUAAAGGAAAACAAAAGACCACCACCUCAUGCCACAAAGAUGUCAUGACAGAUAUGAGAAAUCGCCCUAUGCUUGAUGCCACAAGACUAUCAAAAUAUCAAUGCUAUUGUAGAGGCACAGGUCUAGCUUAAUACACUUCUUGCAUGCUACUUCAACAACUGAAAAUUUAUGCAAUCCCAUCUUUUGUUACCUUCUUGGAUACAUAUGUAGUUUAUCCAAU